CAGCAGCCGCGGUAAUACAGAGGGUGCAAGCGUUAAUCGGAAUUACUGGGCGUAAAGCGCACGCAGGCGGUCUGACAAGUCAGAUGUGAAAUCCCCGGGCUUAACCUGGGAACUGCAUUUGAAACUGUCAGGCUGGAGUCUUGUAGAGGGGGGUAGAAUUCCAGGUGUAGCGGUGAAAUGCGUAGAGAUCUGGAGGAAUACCGGUGGCGAAGGCGGCCCCCUGGACAAAGACUGACGCUCAGGUGCGAAAGCGUGGGGAGCAAACAGGAUUAGAUACCCCAGUAGUCCCUGUCUCUUAUAC
rnacentral:rRNA from 1 species